GACGAACGCUGGCGGCGUGCUUAACACAUGCAAGUCGUACGGUAAGGCCCUUUCGGGGGUACACGAGUGGCGAACGGGUGAGUAACACGUGAGUAACCUGCCCACAACUUUGGGAUAACGCUAGGAAACUGGUGCUAAUACUGGAUAUGUGCUCCUGCUGCAUGGUGGGGGUUGGAAAGCUCCGGCGGUUGUGGAUGGACUCGCGGCCUAUCAGCUUGUUGGUGGGGUAGUGGCCUACCAAGGCGUCGACGGGUAGCCGGCCUGAGAGGGUGACCGGCCACAUUGGGACUGAGAUACGGCCCAGACUCCUACGGGAGGCAGCAGUGGGGAAUAUUGCACAAUGGGCGCAAGCCUGAUGCAGCAACGCCGCGUGCGGGAUGACGGCCUUCGGGUUGUAAACCGCUUUCAGCAGGGACGAAGCUUUUUGUGACGGUACCUGCAGAAGAAGCACCGGCUAACUACGUG
rnacentral:rRNA from 1 species